rnacentral:lncRNA from 1 species
CUUGCCACAAGGAGACGCUGUUCAGUUUACCGGAUCCUGUCCCGCGCCAGCCAACCAGGACAAGGCCGGGGAGCUCGAGACAGGCAGCCUAGACCAAGAACCGGAAGGAGGAAAAGGAACCGGAGGGAGGAAGAGGAGGGGCGGGACGAGACCACCAGGGAGGGGCGGGGUAGGGCCGGGCCGAGAGAAACCACUGGGGAGGGUCUGGGGUCGGGGCUUUGCCAUCAGUGGUGUGAGGAGCAGGCCGGGGCAGUGGGCAAUUGAGCGAGGAACAGCUGCGGGAGGACUCCGCGGACUCCUGAGAACCAGCUUAGGGGAGCGGCGGCUUGGGGAGGUGUAGGGUGGAAUCACGAGAAAGCUCUGUGGGAGGGCCUGGUGCACAGCUCAGCUGCAGGGUGGAGCUGAGGGAAAGCCGGGCGUUCCUGGAGGAGGAGCAGGGCGAGGCUGUGGCAAAGCGCUGUGGGAGCAGAUGGGGCGGGGCUGCGGGAAAGAGCUGGAGAAGGAGGAGCCAAGCUGCACCAAGGCUGGCGGGCUGAAAGGCAAGAGUCCAAACUUUCCCGCGGCGACCUAACUGCACCUCCAGUGUCUUCCCCCAGAGGGCACAGAAGCAGCAAGAAGGGCGGGAACACUUGACUGGGGUCCAUGCAGCUCUAGGCUGAGUCUUGCAGGGCUGAGCCCCCCAGGCCUGCUCUCCUGUGUCCUGGCCGCUCCGUCAGUGCCUGCCAGUGGGGUCCAGAGGGACCGUUUUUUUAACGCCUCUUUUGCAGGCUCCCGCAUUGACUUCAUAACCAAGUUCUGGGUCCCUGCCUCUGGAGUGCCUGAUGAGACAAAACGGCUCCUCGUCCUGCAUCCCCGCUGCUACUUCCAGAAUUCAGGCCUCGUGGUCUGGAGCCUGCACUGUUCCAUGAGCCUCCUGAGCAACCUGGAGUCCUCUGUCUUUCUUCCCUCAGGGAGAUGCGCCUACUUCUCCCUGGAGAAGCUUGAGGAAGCAGAAAUGCUGGAGAUGAGGUGCUCCUCACUCUCACUCCUGGGUGUGCUGGGCAGUGGGGUGCAAUGUGCACGUAGGUGCACACUCUCCCUGGGCGGCAGCGAGCAGCAGAGGUCUGAUCUGUGGUCGGAUGACGAGAGGAAGUGCAAGUAAAGCAGCUGCAGCGGAGGUCAGCACGAAACCCAAACGGAGUUUUGCUCUUGUUGCCCAGGCUGGUGCAAUCUCGGCUCACCACUACCUCUGCCUUCUGGGCUCAAGCGAUUCUCCUUCCUCAGCCUCCUGAGUGCUGGGAUUACAGGGACCUCGUCCGCACAGGGGCUUGUUCUUCUGUGUCUUUGCAGGGCUGUUUUGGACUCAGUAUUCACCUAAGCACUCCAAAUUGUUUCCUUUUCUGCCCUGACUCUCACAGGGUCGUGCGGAUGUGCGAUGUAGGAGGAGGAGAGAGGUAAAGUGGAGGAAUAGGAGCUGGAGGGGAGGAGGAGAGAAGAAAAGAGGAGAAGGAGGGGGAAGAGAGGGAGCGGGUUCAAGGAGGGAAGGAGGAGGAGAAGGAGAGGAGGAGGAGAUGAGACCAAGGAGAAGAGGUGAAGGAGGAGAGGAGGACACAGAAAAGAGAAGAAAGAGGAGAGGAGACGGAGAAGAGGAGGAGGAGUAACAAAGGAGGAAGAAGAGGAAGAGGACUAGAAGAGCAAGUUCCAGUUCUCGGUGCGCCCCGUUCUGCAAGACACUCUCCUGUGGUCAGCCCUGGUCUGCAGAGGAUUCCCGCGCUGGAUCUCUGAAGGAUGCUGGCGCCCUCUCUGCAGCACAUUCCUGAUGCCCUUGCUGACACGUGUCCUCUGGGCCCUCUCCUGAAACCUGAUUCUCCGGGGUGUCUUCUGGCCUCACCUCUUCUGUCCAGUUCCAGCAAGCUCACUUUGCUUAGCCUUUGAAUCCCUUCCUUCACUGUCUGCCAUGACAGUUCAGGCCUUUCACCGUCACUCAGGCCUGGACCAUCACUGUUGCCCAUCCCAUGCCAUCAACAGGUUUGCCCCAUCCCUUCGGCUCCCUACCAGGGCAUUCAGUUGUGUUGAGCAGCAGAGUGUCUCCAAGUCCCCACUGGUUGAGCUGCAUCCGGGUCCCAUCCCACAGGGACCCCCUGGCCGCUGCAGAUGCAUGCUGAUCCUGCAGCUCCUCGAGGGUGUCAUCGCUUUCCCCCUUCCCAGACCCAGCACACCCUGCCUGCAUGGCGCUGCGCUGCACCUUCACUCUGGUCACGGGUCUGGCAGUCAGCUCACCAAUUCCUCCUGCUUCCCUGGGACUUGCCGGCUUUUAGCACUGCAAUUCACUCAGCAAACUGGGACUGUUGGUCACCCUACCUGGCAGCCAGUGAUAAGGUGAGGGCCACUCCUGGGAGGGAGGACACCUGUGGGGAAAAUUCUUGUGUUAUUUAUUUCUCCUUCGGGAUAGGGUGCCUGCAGCGCUUCAUGGGAGGGGGUGGGCUGAUGCUGCGGGCUCAGAAGUUUCAAGGGCAUCUGGGGAGACCAGAUAUUCAGAGACCUUCUAGAUGUGCCUGUUCCAUGUAUCAGGGACGCAGGUUUUCCCAACAGGGCUGGUGUCAUUGGCAUGACAGACCUGCCUUGGCUGAGCGUUCACCUGUCUUUGGAGUUCAGCCACCUUAGCAAGUCCUGGGUUUGUUCUUCAGACUUUGCUGCUCGCCCAUUGCCUGGAUCGGGGGCUACUUUGUAAACCACCAGGAAGACUCCAGUGUUUCUGGUUAAUUUUUAGAUGUUUGUUAAUUGCUCUUGGUCUCUCAUUAAUCCCCUGUGGGUCAUCCAGGAAACAUACUCACCACUGUCUGUUCUCUGAGUUUUCAUUUCCAGGCAUCCGCCCUGCCUGGAUCUCCUCACCUGCCAGGAACUUCCUCUCCACAAGCCGGCCAUCCCAGCAAAAGUUCUAACACCAAAGGUCUGGCAACUAGCCUGCCAUCUUGUGCCUGGAGCCGCCUGCGUGCCACCUACUCCCGAAGAUGGGAACCUUGUUGCCAGUUGGGCAGAUGCGGGGCAAUCCUGUACCAAGACCCCAUUUUACCACCUGCUUUCUCAGACCACUCUGGAACCCACUGUCUCAGAUUGUGUCCUCCAGGAAGCAGACCAUGAGAGGGAGUUGGCAGGGCCAAAGAUUUACUGGGGCUAACUAACACUCAGGAAAGGGAUAGGAAGGAAACAGGGCUGGAGAGCAGGUUGAGCCCGACCUGACAGUCUCGAGCAGCCCAACAGGGAGGUGUGGAGCAAGGGUUGCCCACUAGAGGGGCCUGCAUUGGGUACGGGUGAUGGGGUCCACAUGGUACCUGGCAUAUAGCAGGCUGUGCAAUCCAUAUUAACUGACUGGAUAAAUUAAUGCCCAGAAAAGGUGCCCUGGAGAAUGGGUGUGUGCUGAACACAAUAGGGAAGGGCCCAGCAUCUGCCUUGGCAUAGGCAGAACUGUGCUGUGCCCUGCAACAGGCCACCUGAGAGCUGCUUUGAUCUUGUGUGUACAUUAGAUGACUGCCAGGGGCAUGAAGGGGAUGUGCUUCCAGGGCAUUUGCUGGCAGGGCGUCUCGUGAUCUCUUGGUAUUGGUGUGAGCACAGCCUGGCAGGAGAGGGCAGAUCUCCAUGCAAAGUAUGUCAGAAAGCAGAUGGAAGCCAGGCCCCCUCCUGAAAGAGGCUCCUUGAAGGUACUUGUAAGGGGGCAUCUUACAGGCAAGAGGAGUUAGGUGAAUGUGAAGAGGAAGGAACUACUCUGGGCAGGGGGCUGGGGGACGCUUCGUAGAGGAGGGGGUGUUUGAGCUGGGCCUUGAAGGUCAAAAGGGUUUUGUUAGGUGGGAAAUGGGGGAAGGACAGUCUGAAAGGGUUAGGUACAUUCAAGGAGCCCAGAGAAGGUUCGUGGCUGGAGCAGACGCAUUCGUAGAGUGAAGUCAUGGGAGAGAAGAGGCUGGGAAACUAGAUUGGUUCCAACUCCUAAAGGACCACUGAAGGAGUGUGGGCUGCACGCUGGGUGCAGCAGGUGAGUUUCCUCACUUGGGUUUCACUGUCAGCAUUUUAAAAAGGCAAACUGGUUUUCUUCCUGAGAAGAAUUCAUUGAUUCACUUGUGGCCAGUAAGUCAUCUGGGCCAGAGGUUGGUGGGGAGAUGAUAGGGGUGCAAGUGUCAUCUUCAAUCACAGCAUAACUGCCCUUGCUUUCUUACCUCUCGUUUAGAUAUUUCAAUGCUUGCUCAGGUCCCCUGCGCCCUCCUUCCUUCUCCCUUCCCAGCCAUACUACUUAUGGGAUGACUUUCUCUUUGUAAAAUGACCGUUAGUCUUAUCAAAUUAAUCCCAAAGUAAUACCAUCAAUUUCCCCCUAAAAUACCAACAAGACCCCUGCUUGAAACUGCUUGUACAUUAGAGACAGAGAAGAGUCCAUGAGAAUCAACAUUUUCUGAGGACUCCAACUGUGUGCCAAGAGAGUUCCCCUGCUGGUGCCUCCUCUGUAGUAAAGGAAAGGCUCCUGGGACCACAUUAUCAUUCUCUUCACUCGAGAGAUGAGGACACUGAAAUUCAGAGAGGGGAAGUGAUUUGCCUCAGCUUGUACUGGUUUCACUUUGUCACUCAGGCUGGAGUGCAGUGAUGUGAUCAUAGCUUUCUGCAGCCUUGACUUCCGGGCUCAAGUGAUCCUCCCACCUCCGCCUCCUUAGUAGCUAGGACCACAGGCAUGCACCAGCACACCCAGCAAAUUAAAAAAAAAUUUUUUUUAAAGAUGAGAUCUCACUAUGUUGCCCAGGCUGGUCUGAAAUUCCUGUCCUCAAGCAAUCCUCCUGCCUUAGCCUCCCAAAGUGCUGAGAUUACAGGCAUGAGCUACCAUGCCUGGCCUAAAACAUUUUUAAUGGAAGUAUAAUUUGCAAACAGAAAACAUGCCCAAAUAUUAAGUGAAUGCACUGAUGAACAUUCACAACUUAACAAGAUAGCCAGCACUUAAAUCACAAAAUAGAACACCGCUAGGACCUCUUUGUAAUACCCUCCAAGUCACUACUUCUGCCCAAAGGUAAUCGCUAUUUUGCAACAUUUUUUAUUACUUUAUAUAAAUGAGAUCGUACACUGCGUAAUCUUAUUACUGUCUGGAUUUUUAUAUUAAAUAUUGCUUGUGAGAUUCAUCCAUGUUGUCAUGUCAGCAAUACUUUAUUCUCAUUGCCAUAUACUAUUCCAUUUUUAUCAGUAUACCAUGAUAUAUUUACCCAUUCUGCUAUUUGUACAUACUGGAAUUGUUCCCAGGUUUUUGUAAUACAAGCAAAGCUGCUAUUAUGUAUUACUGUUAUGUACAUGUCUAGAGGUAAAAUUGAUGAUUUAUGGGAUAUGCAUAUGUUUAAUUUUAGCAGAUAUUGAAAAACAGAUUUUUAAAGCGGCUGUAGCAAUUUACAUUACCACCAGCAAUGUGAAGAAACAUUUCAACAGAGAACCCAGUGGAAAUUAUGACAUGUUAUCUUCUCAGAGUCCUGAACUCCCAUCCCUACCUCAGAAGAGACUCCUCUGUUCACAGAAGCUAAAGGCAGUUCCUUCCCAAUGGCAACUAUGUUUGGAUGUUGGAUCUACACUUUCUCAAGCACUGUGAUCUUCAAAUGAAAGGAGAUUUCUCCCAUUAUAUACUUCUUAUGAUCAACAAAUUCCAUCAUCUCCCCACUAAGAGAAAGUACUCCAAGAUGAUAGAAUGAUUUUAAAGUUAUGGGACUACAACAGCAGCCACAGGAACCUUGAGUAAGUACCAUGAACCCUGACCCUCAGCGUUAAUUUGUAAGCCUUUGGCAGUGAGAUGGAAUGUCUUCCUUCAGUUUGAAACAAGCCAUUGGGCAGCUGUACUUUAUGGGGUCCCUGUUGUCUCUGACAGCAUCAAGUAUCAUGCUGGCUACACACAGGCACCUCCCAGAUACUCACUGAACUGAAUUGAACCACAAAACUCUGUGGAGCUCCUUGAAGAUGAACAAGAUUCAGAACCCUCCUAGGCAGCUGCCAUCCAGGGCCAUGCAGCAAACAAGCAACAGGGAAAUAUCCCACUAUGCAAUCCUAUUUUGAGAUGAUAUUUAGGAUGAGAGAACAUGCAUUAGUUACCUACCAGCUUGACAGGAAUGGAUUUCCAAAUCUGACACACCAUAGCCUGAAUUCUCACCAGUUUGCUCCUGGAAAGGCCCGCUCAUGGAUGAGCCCCUGCCACUCUUCUAAAUAAGCUUCCAGGCAUUACCUGCAUGCUGUGUUCCUGUGGUGGGAUGGCAGUAAUCUCUGCUAAGAUAAACGGGAGCUUCUGUGGAUAAAGCAUAAACGCAGUGAAGUGUGUGUGGCUGGAAGAUUUAAUGCCUCUACAGGGCUUAGAUACAAGUUGAGCUUGGAAUUCCAGAGGUAGAGCACUGCUGAUUGGAGACAUAUUAAGUAAAAUGUACUGUGGAAAUGAGAUAAAACCUUUAUUCUUGCUAAUGAUUGUCAUUGUAUGUAUUCAGGUGUCCAACAAAGGAUUUUAGAAUAAAGUGUGCCUUUAAAGUUUCCCACGGAAGCCAAUGACUUGGGCAAAUGCCCCUAAUUCAGGAUCAACUCAGAUGACCAGGUUUCCCCUACCUAGAGUGCUACUUAUUGCAGUGAAAACUUUUCUUCUUUCCAAAAACCUUUAAUUAAACGUUUAAUAACUCCCUGACGUGACACUGAAUAGCAAAGAGGAAACACCAUGACAGGUUGAAUGAGAAACCACAGAAGAAAGGAAAACAUCUGUAUAUUUUAGUUUUCAGGAAGAAAGAGAGAAUCAGCAACAUGGCAUUGAAGGUACCCGUUGACAGUGACGUGCAUCACAGCAUUAACAGGAGAAAUGCUUGUGUGUGCAAAUGGGAGACAAAGGAAAGGGACCACCACAUCCAUGGAGUGCACCGCGUGAGAGAAAUGCUCAGGAAGGGAAUUGACCAGAUUGGCUGUGGAGAGAAAAGAGAAGGAACAUGGGAGGCAGAGGUGAGCAACCAGGCUUUCACUGCUGAAUGUCUGAGCCAGCUCCAUCGUACAACAGGAGUGAGGGAAGUACCUGCUUCACAAGGUUGUCAUAGCCAUCAAAUGGGAUCACACUCUAAAGGCAGGUCUGGAGGCCAGAAAUCAGAAAUCAAGGUGUCAGCAGUUCCAAGCUCCCUGCGAAGGCUCUAGGGGAUAAUCCUUCCUUGCUUCUUCCAGCUUCUGGUGGAUCCAGGUGUUCCUUUGGCUUGUGGCCGUAUCACUCCAACCUCUGGCUCCAUCUUCACCCUUACCUACUUCCCUGUGUAUCUUGAAUCUCCUGCCACUCUCUUAUAAUGACACGUCAUUGGAUUUAGUGCCUAUUUGGAU